rnacentral:rRNA from 1 species
AGGCAGCCGUCUAAGGUGGAGUUGAUGAUUGGGGUGAAGUCGUAACAAGGUAGCCGUAUCGGAAGGUGCGGCUGGAUCACCUCCUUUCUAAGGAG